rnacentral:rRNA from 1 species
UGAGUACGAGAUGCUACGGCGUCGAAGCAGUCUAUGUCAUACUUCCAAGAAAAGCUUGCACUGUCAGAAACAGAUAAUGCCUGUACCAUAACCGACACAGGUGGGUAGGUAGAGUAUACUAAGGGGCGCGAGAUAACUCUCUCUAAGGAACUCGGCAAAAUGACUCCGUAACUUCGGGAGAAGGAGUGCCUUAUUUUUAAGGUUGCAAUAACAAGAUCCAAGCAACUGUUUACCAAAAACACAGGUCUCCGCUAAGUCGUAAGACGAUGUAUGGGGGCUGACGCCUGCCCAGUGCCAGAAGGUUAAAGAAGUCGGUUAGCAUUCGCGAAGCUGGUAACUGAAGCCCUGGUGAACGGCGGCCGUAACAAUAACGGUCCUAAGGUAGCGAAAUUCCUUGUCGGGUAAGUUCCGACCCGCACGAAAGGCGUAAUGAUUUGGAUACUGUCUCGGAGAGGGGCUCGGUGAAAUAGACUUGUCUGUGAAGAUGCGGACUACCUGCACCUGGACAGAAAGACCCUAUGAAGCUUUACUGUAACUUGAAAUUGAAAUUGGACUUUAUUUGCGCAGUAUAGGUGGGAGGCGUUGAAAAUAUUCUUGCGGGAAUAUUGGAGCCAUCAGUGAGAUACCACUCUUGUAAUGUUAGAUUUCUAACUUUAUAUCAUUAUCUGGUUAAAGAACAGUUUCAGGCGGGCAGUUUGACUGGGGCGGUCGCCUCCCAAAUGGUAACGGAGGCGCACAAAGGUUUCCUCUGAACGGGUAGAAAUCGUAUCUAGAGUGUAAAGGCAUAAGGAAGCUUGACUGUGAGACCUACAAGUCGAGCAGGGACGAAAGUCGGUCUUAGUGAUCUGACGGUGCUGAGUGGAAAGGCCGUCACUCAACGGAUAAAAGUUACUCUAGGAUAACAGGCUGAUCUCCCCCAAGAGUUCACAUCGACGGGGAGGUUUGGCACCUCGAUGUCGGCUCAUCGCAUCCUGGGGCGGUAGUACGUCCCAAGGGUUGGGCUGUUCGCCCAUGAAAGCGGUACGCGAGCUGGGUUCAGAACGUCGUGAGACAGUUCGGUCCAUAUCCGGUGUAGGCGUUAGAAUAUUGAGAGGAGCCUUCUUUAGUACGAGAGGACCGAGAAGGACAUACCUCUGGUGUACCAGUUAUCGUGCCAACGGUAAACGCUGGGUAGCUAUGUAUGGAGUGGAUAACCGCUGAAAGCAUCUAAGUGGGAAGCCCACCUCAAGAUAAGUAUUCUCAUG